ensembl:lncRNA novel transcript
UGAAUUCCUGUGAGCAUUCCUCUUCAAGAUGGAAGAAAAAGGGAAUAUUUCACAACCCCAAUGGUGAAACGUCUGCCUAUAGCCAACAAUACAAUCUCCAUCCAUGUAUGAUGUGACUUGCUCCUACAUGCCUUCCACCAUGAUUAUGAGGCCUCCUGAGCCAUGUGGAACUACGAUGGAAAUCAUGUUAGACAAAAAGCAAAUUCAGGCAAUUUUCUUAUUUGAGUUCAAAAUGGGUCGUAUAGCAACAGACAUAGCUUGUGACAUCAACAAUGCAUUUGGCCCAGGAACUGCUAAUGAACAUACUGUGCAGUGGUGGUUCAAGAAGUUUUGCAAAGGAGAAGAGAGCCUUGAAGAUAAGGAGCAUAGUGGCUGGCUAUCAGAAGUUGAUACAGGAGAAGUUACCAAAGAACUCAACAUCGACCAUUCUAGGGUUGUUUGGCAUUUGAAACAAAUUGGAAAGGUGAAAAAGCUCGAUAAGUGGGUACCUCCUCAGCUGAGUGAAAAUAAACAAAAUCAGUGUUUUGAAGUGUCUUCUCUUACUCUACACAACAAUGAACCAUUUCCCGAUCAGAUUGUGACGUGCACAAAAAGUGGAUUUUAUACAGCAACUGACGAUGACCAGCUCAAUGGUUGGACUGAGAAGAAGUGCCAAAGCACUUCCCAAAGCCAAACUUGCAUCAAAAAAAUGGUCAUGGUUACUCUUUGGUGGUCGGCUACCUGUCUGAUCCACUACAGCUUUUUGAAUCCCUGAGAAACCAUUACAUCUGAGAAGUAUGCUCAGCAAAUCGAUGAGAUGCACCAAAAACUGCAACACCUGCAGCCGGUAUUGGUUAACAGAAAGGGUCCAAUUCUUCUCCACGACAAUGAUGGACCAUACAUUGCAUAACCAAUACUUCAGAAGUUGAACAAAUCGGGCUACAAAAUUUUGCCUCAUACGCCAUAUUCACUUGACCUCUCACCAACCAACUACCACUUCUUCAAGCAUCUCAACAACUUUUGUGGGGAAAAUGCUUCCAAAACCAUCAGGAUGCAGAAAAUGCUUUCUAAGUGAUCGUUGAUUCCCAAAUCACGGAUUUUUAUGCUACAGGGAUAAACAAACAUUUCUUAUUGGCAAAAAUGUGUUGAUUGUAAUGGUUCCUAUUUUUAUUAAUAAAAAUGUGUUUGAGCCUAGUUAUAAUAAUUUAAAA